AGAGUUUGAUCCUGGCUCAGGACGAACGCUGGCGGCGUGCUUAACACAUGCAAGUCGAGCGGAAAGGCCCUUCGGGGUACUCGAGCGGCGAACGGGUGAGUAACACGUGAGUAACCUGCCCCUGACUCUGGGAUAAGCCCGGGAAACUGGGUCUAAUACCGGAUAUGACACCUCCUCGCAUGGGGUGGGUGUGGAAAGUUUUUCGGUUGGGGAUGGACUCGCGGCCUAUCAGCUUGUUGGUGGGGUAAUGGCCUACCAAGGCGACGACGGGUAGCCGGCCUGAGAGGGCGACCGGCCACACUGGGACUGAGACACGGCCCAGACUCCUACGGGAGGCAGCAGUGGGGAAUAUUGCGCAAUGGGCGAAAGCCUGACGCAGCGACGCCGCGUGGGGGAUGACGGCCUUCGGGUUGUAAACCUCUUUCAGCAGGGACGAAGUUGACGUGUACCUGCAGAAGAAGCGCCGGCUAACUACGUGCCAGCAGCCGCGGAAAUACGUAGGGCGCAAGCGUUGUCCGGAAUUAUUGGGCGUAAAGAGCUCGUAGUGGCUUGUCACGUCGGGUGUGUAAGCUUGGGGCUUAACUCCAGGUCUGCAUUCGAUACGGGCUGGCUAGAGGUAGGUAGGGGAGAACGGAAUUCCUGGUGUAGCGGUGAAAUGCGCAGAUAUCAGGAGGAACACCGGUGGCGAAGGCGGUUCUCUGGGCCUUACCUGACGCUGAGGAGCGAAAGCGUGGGGAGCGAACAGGAUUAGAUACCCUGGUAGUCCACGCUGUAAACGUUGGGCGCUAGGUGUGGGGACCUUCCACGGUUUCCGCGCCGUAGCUAACGCAUUAAGCGCCCCGCCUGGGGAGUACGGCCGCAAGGCUAAAACUCAAAGGAAUUGACGGGGGCCCGCACAAGCGGCGGAGCAUGUUGCUUAAUUCGACGCAACGCGAAGAACCUUACCAAGGCUUGACAUUGCCCGGAAACACUCAGAGAUGGGUGCCUCUUCGGAUCGGGUGACGGGUGGUGCAUGGCUGUCGUCAGCUCGUGUCGUGAGAUGUUGGGUUAAGUCCCGCAACGAGCGCAACCCUUGUUCAAUGUUGCCAGCAACACCCUUCGGGGUGGUUGGGGACUCAUUGGAGACUGCCGGGGUCAACUCGGAGGAAGGUGGGGAUGACGUCAAGUCAUCAUGCCCCUUAUGUCUUGGGCUGCAAACAUGCUACAAUGGCCGGUACAGAGGGCUGCGAUACCGCAAGGUGGAGCGAAUCCCUAAAAGCCGGUCUCAGUUCGGAUUGGGGUCUGCAACUCGACCCCAUGAAGUCGGAGUCGCUAGUAAUCGCAGAUCAGCAACGCUGCGGUGAAUACGUUCCCGGGCCUUGUACACACCGCCCGUCACGUCACGAAAGUCGGCAACACCCGAAGCCCGUGGCCCAACCAGCUUGCUGGGGGGAGCGGUCGAAGGUGGGGCUGGCGAUUGGGACGAAGUCGUAACAAGGUA
rnacentral:rRNA from 1 species